rnacentral:lncRNA from 1 species
ACACCGUGGGUGUGUUUCUACCUGACAGCCUCCAAAAACACGAGAAGGUUCCUGAUGUCGUAAACAGAUUCGGCGUCACGCAGGUUGAACGAGACGCUCGAGGGAGGUGCUUUCGCGUGGUGUUUGUGUUCCGCGACCGCCGGAGCGGAGCACGACCCCCAGGAACGCCUUGCCGCCCGUUGUGCUUCAAGUCGUAGAUAACGAGCGAACCGGGGGGGCGCCGGACGGCCUGCGCGAUCUGGGAGAGCGGAGGAGGCUCCGGAGCCGAGAGACGGCGGCGCGAUGGAGAGACGAGCCCGAACGGCCCGCGCUGAAAAGAGCCGGCAGACCGCGGGCAUGAAGUCUACAGCCCAUCGAGGUUCUCCAGACAUCCAGUCACCUUCUCCCUGCCUCCCACUCCACCGCCGCCCCAGAAUGCACCGGGAGGAUUCCUUCACCACCGAAUCAGUUCCAACGAUUUGGAAGCAGUCGGGCGGCUGUAUGUAUAUAGGACUGAGGGAGAACAAGCUGCUUAAGCAUCCUUAUCUUCAACUGGUGUCAACUUACAUUCUAUCAAACACUUCAGUUGAUUCAUAUCAGUCAGCAGCAGAUGUAUGUUGGUUAAAACUGUAUUUAUUUAUGAAGUCUCUGGGAGGAAUGCUUCUGCUGAUGUUAGGGUUUAGGAUCAGGGUUGGGUUGAGGGUUAGGGUUUAGGGUUAGGGUUAGGUGAACUUUAAGGCUGUUUCCGAAAUUUUUUGGAACAGAGAGCAGAAUAACCAUCCAGACAUGUCCACUUUUACGUUUCUAACAUAAAACUGUAUUAUUGAAGGUCCCUCAUCAUAUCUGCAAAAAACCGAGUGGCAUGCAUUGUGUUUCACGCUGCUCAACACAAAUCACCUCAACUGACAAAGUAAAACUUUCUCUAGUUGGACGUAUCAGACUGGUGGCAUGUUUGGCUGAGUGCUUUGUGUGCUCUCCAUCUUGCCUUAGAGUCUGCUGGGGGGCUCACACCUGCCAUGAAAUGAGAUUAUUGACCCCCCCCCCCCCCCCCCCCAAUGGGACACCACUGGACAAAAGAGAGGAUGAGGUGAGGUGG